CUCCGCCAUCCUAUGUGCGGUUGAGGUCUGUCCUCACCAUGUCUUCUCACAAGACUUUCAGGAUCAAGCGAUUCCUGGCCAAGAAGCAAAAGCAGAAUCGUCCCAUUCCUCAAUGGAUUCGAAUGAAAACUGGCAAUAAAGUUAGGUACAACUCCAAGAGAAGACAUUGGAGAAGAACCAAGUUGGGUCUAUAAGAAGCCUCACAUAAAAAGUGGCACACGUGUUAAGACCACUUAUUUAAGCAGCCGUAUCACAGUGAGAACAUCACUACUGUAAUGCUUGGCUCCUGAUGUUUCUUAUUUUCUCAUUAUCAGUCGAAACCAGUAAUAAAUAUGUAACGUUGGAACUGUUAUUGUAUUAGAUGGUUUGUGAUGACGUACUGAAUAAAUACUCCUGUCAGGACACAGGGCUGUCCAAUGAGAGAAAUGUUCUCUAGCUACCGAGUACUUAGAAGUACUAGUAAGUACUAGAAGCUAGUAAAUUAGGAACUGGCUUUUUUAAAGUUUUGUUGCCUUAUUGUUCCCUAUAAGUAGCAGCUCUUAAACCUACUGUUACAGGAAGUACACAUAUGUGUCAUCCUUGUACCUGAACGCAGCACCUUUUUAAAAUAAACUGUUGGGGGGGGGAUGCCUUGCCACAAGACAUGCAGGAUCUUAGUUCCCCAACCAGGGAUUGAACCCACUUGGCUGCCAGGAAAGUCCCAUAAAAAGCAUGUUUAUAUGCUAUUCUAUGAUGUGAACCAGGGUUUGGCAAACUGGGCUCCUACCUGUUUUUGCAUGGUCUGUGAACUAAAGUUAUGCAUCUUUAAAUGGUUGAAAAAAUCAAAUAUUUUUGACAUUUAAUAAAUUCAAGUUUACCUAC